GCGGGCGUGGCGGAACGGGUAUACGCACGGGACUUAAAAUCCCGCGGUCCUAGACCUUGCGGGUUCGAAUCCCGCCGCCCGCA
rnacentral:tRNA from 1 species